CUACUUCUGACGAGGAGGUGCAUUAUGAUCAGUAUGGCAGGAUCAUCAUAGUCCCUGAGGGUGAUGGGUUCCUCCCGAGUAAUAUUACUACGAGGAUAAUCACCAAAGCAACCAGAAAGCUUUAUGAUGCCCCUUAUGCGUCUUGGCGUGAAUUCCCAUUCUCACUGAAGGAGGCAAUUUUCAAUGAAUUUAAGAGCAAGUGUGUAUGGGAACACCAGUAUAGCGCGGACGUGGCUGCAAAUUUUAAUCUCAAAGCUCGCAAGCGGUUGUCGCAUUCUUUCUCCAUAGCUAGACAGCUGAACCAGAAGCCUGG